rnacentral:lncRNA from 1 species
UGGGUUUUAUAUAUUUUUUUAUGAUGUAAUUUGAUUUAUGUGCUUUUUUUGUUUUUUGUUUUUGUUAACUUAUUCUUUUUUAAAAUCAAAAUUUGGACAAGAUUUUAAAUAAUAAUAAAAAAAUUGGUGGGCAUUUAUAGGAAGAAUUGGUAUGAGACCUAAAAAAAUAAAAAACAAAACAAAAAUUCAGACUAGCCGUUGAGCUCUUGUAGCCGUUGGCCCACUUGAC